GACGAACGCUGGCGGCGUGCUUAACACAUGCAAGUCGAACGGAAAGGCCCUGCUUUUGUGGGGUGCUCGAGUGGCGAACGGGUGAGUAACACGUGAGUAACCUGCCCUUGACUUUGGGAUAACUUCAGGAAACUGGGGCUAAUACCGGAUAGGAGCUCCCGCUGCAUGGUGGGGGUUGGAAAGUUUCGGCGGUUGGGGAUGGACUCGCGGCUUAUCAGCUUGUUGGUGGGGUAGUGGCUUACCAAGGCUUUGACGGGUAGCCGGCCUGAGAGGGUGACCGGCCACAUUGGGACUGAGAUACGGCCCAGACUGCUACGGGAGGCAGCAGUGGGGAAUAUUGCACAAUGGGCGGAAGCCUGAUGCAGCAACGCCGCGUGCGGGAUGACGGCCUUCGGGUUGUAAACCGCUUUCGCCUGUGACGAAGCGUGAGUGACGGUAAUGGGUAAAGAAGCACCGGCUAACUACGUG
rnacentral:rRNA from 1 species